AUGAAUUUAAUUUUCCUUUUAGAGUCACACCAGAGAGAACAGACAAAGUAGUAAGAUACUGUAUAAUUCAAUGGACUAAGUAUUUGAUGUCAUAAACUACAUGUAUAAAGGUUAAUGGCUUUGUAAUGUGAUGAUGACUGACAGUAUAGCAAAUAGCCAUUACUAUUGAACACUAAACAAGUAUCCCAUGAUUGUGAUUUUGACUAGUCAUUCUUCUGGAGAUAUUUGUAUUUCUUUUUAUUGCGACCUACUAAUUAUCUACUGUAA